rnacentral:snoRNA from 1 species
ACCCGUUUGCCAACACUCUGGUCCCAUUUUUUACUCUGUACUGGGUUCCAAUUUUACAAGCAAACUAGAUAAAAAGCUUAUGAUUAUUACGGAGUUUGUUUAGCUGGAAGU